rnacentral:rRNA from 1 species
GAUGAACGCUGGCGGCGUGCCUAAUACAUGCAAGUCGAGCGAACAGACGAGGAGCUUGCUCCUCUGACGUUAGCGGCGGACGGGUGAGUAAAACGUGGAUAACCUACCUAUAAGACUGGGAUAACUUCGGGAAACCGGAGCUACUACCGGAUCAUAUAUUGAACCGCAUGGUUCAAUAGUGAAAGACGGUUUUGCUGUCACUUAUAGCUGGAUCCGCGCCGCAUUAGCUAGUUGGUAAGGUAACGGCUUACCAAGGCAACGAUGCGUAGCCGACCUGAGAGGGUGAUCGGCCACACUGGAACUGAGACACGGUCCAGACUCCUACGGGAGGCAGCAGUAGGGAAUCUUCCGCAAUGGGCGAAAGCUUGACGGAGCAACGCCGCGUGAGUGAUGAAGGUCUUCGGAUCGUAAAACUCUGUUAUUAGGGAAGAACAAAUGUGUAAGUAACUAUGCACGUCUUGACGGUACCUAAUCAGAAAGCCACGGCUAACUACGUG